rnacentral:lncRNA from 1 species
UUCUCCUCUUCUGGCUCCCACUGUGGGGCAAUCAGCCUUUUUGUUAGGACCUGACAUGACCUUGGCCCCACAGCCCCCCUUCCCCGCCCCCUUGGCGCCUCUUGCCAGUCCCAUUGCUGACGGAGGUCUGACGGGGGCAGAGAUUGAUGAGAAUGAGAGGAUCUCUGAGGCCACCUGUUUACUCUGCCGGCAGGCACACGCAGUGAUUAACGGUGCACAAUCGAGUUAGGACCUGAGCUCUGCAGCUGGAGGCCAGGGCAGGGAGAGGGGCCUGCCGCCUAGAGUUUCCGCUCCCUGGGGAUCUUGGGGGUUUGCAAGAAGCCCCUCGAGGAGACCGAGAAUGAGCAGUGCCCGGCCAGAGGGUAUAGGGUGCAUGUAGACAACCUUCCCUGUCCUACUUGCCCCCGCCCCCUUUCCACAGAGAUAGUGGGGCUGGGCGUGUCUCAGCUCCAGACCUUGUCCAAGGAAGGAAGGAAUGAAGGAAGGAGGAAGGAAGGCUUUUCCCAAAGGGCAACCUCUCAACAGGAAAUGGUAGCAAUGCAGGGAGAGAGGGAGAAGCAGGGCUGUGUCCGUCUGGGGUUUGGAUGGUGGGGGACAACUCUGUUUGGGCCCAAGCCUCCUCACUUGUAUCCCUGUGUCUUUCCCCCAGGCGUGAACGACUUCUCUCUUGAGCACAUGCCCAUUCUGCUCUAGUUUUCUUGUUAUAACAGCCUAGCCUGAAGGAACACAUGAAUAAAAGCCCAGCCCCAGCUGUAGCCCUCCUUAUGGGGACCCUUUGUUCCCUUGCCCUGCAUUCAGGGGACAGGUCACCAGAGUUUCACUAGUUUAAAAACCACACAGUGCAGCCCAUAGCAUGUCCUGCCUCCUCCAGAUUGGUAAUGAAGCUCCAUCCUAAGGGUUCAGACUGGAGUCUAUGCCCAGCACUGUGUUCAACACUGGGAAGGGAACAGGAGAAACCAGGGCCCAGAAACCAUGGGGCUUAUGAGCUUGUUGGGGAGACAAAAUGAUUUUGGGAAAGGUAUUAGGGCACAGUGGAGCCCAUGCAUUUCCCAGGAACAGGAUAAAAAGGUGAGGGAAGGUAGAAGGAUGGUCAGUAGACGCUGGCCCUAUGCAGAGGGUGCAGGCCUGCCCAGGAAGGGUGAUCUGGUUUUGGAGGUUGUGUGGUAUGUCAGGGCGCCAGACUGAGUCAAGUCGCGGGGCCCUGUCUAGCGCCUUGUAGAAGGAGUCAUGGCCUCUCUCUCACCCUCAGUCUAUUCUGUACUUGGAGUGGAGAUGGAGGCAAAGUCGGACCUGGUAGCCUCAGUGGGCUCUCCCAGCUCUGAUGUUCCUUGAAGAUGGGACACCUGGGGCUUGACUCUGUUCUGUGGCCUGGCAGAUCCCUCCGUUCUCUGAGCUUCAGUUUCUCUGAAAGUAAAAUGGGAACUCAGGCUAGCCCAGUGUUCCUCAGUCUAUUUUGUGGAAGUUAGUGGAUGUUAUUUAUUUAUUUUUUUAAAAAGUCCUCUGUGAUGAAAUGGGAAAUUAAUUAGGCUUUCUUUACUGCAGGAACCUCUCCGAGCAAAUAAAUGGCAAACAUGUGUUGAGAGUCUCUGAGAGGCAAAGAGAACGAUCAGCAUUUCCCAAACUUAUUUCUCCACAGGAUCUUUUUUUACAUGGAGCGUCUCGUAGGACUGG